rnacentral:rRNA from 1 species
CUGCUGCCUCCCGUAGGAGUCUGGGCCGUGUCUCAGUCCCAGUGUGGGGGGCCUUCCUCUCAGAACCCCUACGCAUCGUCGCCACGGUGGGCCGUCACCCCGCCGUCUAGCUAAUGCGCCGCAUGCCCAUCCGCCACCGGAUCGCUCCUUUGGCCACCGGAGGAUGCCCUCCGGUGGCGUCACGGGGUAUUAGGCCGCGUUUCCGCGGGUUAUCCCCCUGUGGCGGCCAGGUUGCAUACGUGUUACUCACCCGUGCGCCGGCCGCCGG